rnacentral:rRNA from 1 species
UACGGGGGGGGCAAGCGUUGUCCGGAUUUAUUGGGCGUAAAGAGCGUGUAGGCGGCCAGGUAGGUCUGCUGUGAAAACUCGAGGCUCAACCCUCGAGACGUCGGCGGAAACCAUCUGGCUAGAGUCCGGAAGAGGAGAGUGGAAUUCCUGGUGUAGCGGUGAAAUGCGCAGAUAUCAGGAAGAACACCCGUGGCGAAGGCGGCUCUCUGGGACGGUACUGACGCUGAGACGCGAAAGCGUGGGGAGCGAACAGG